rnacentral:rRNA from 1 species
UAACACCAGGGCCACAAGUGGCAAUCCUGUUUAUUUGGUCUAAAGCAUCUGUAGCUGGUUUUACAAGUCUUUUGUGAAAUUGUUCAGCUUAACUGAACAACGUGCGAGAGAUACUAUAAAACUUGAGACCGGGAGGAGAUAGGAGUAUUCCAAGGGGAGCGGUAAAAUGUUAUAAUCCUUGGAGGACUACCUGUGGCGAAGGCGCCUAUCUAGAACGGUUCUGACAGUGUAGGAUGAAAGCUAGGGGAGCGAUCUGGAUUAGAUACCCAAGUAGUCCUAGCUGUAAACUCUGUGAGCUAUGUGUUGCAUAUUCUUCAUGGAUAUGCAGUGCCGGAGCGAAGGCGUUAAGCUCACCACCUGGGAAGUACGGUCGCAAGGCUG